rnacentral:rRNA from 1 species
AUUGAACGCUGGCGGCAUGCCUUACACAUGCAAGCCGAACGGCAGCACGGGGGCAACCCUGGUGGCGAGUGGCGAACGGGUGAGUAAUACAUCGGAACGUGCCCAGUCGUGGGGGAUAACGUAGCGAAAGUUACGCUAAUACCGCAUACGAUCUACGGAUGAAAGCGGGGGACCGUAAGGCCUCGCGCGAUUGGAGCGGCCGAUGUCAGAUUAGGUAGUUGGUGAGGUAAAGGCUCACCAAGCCGACGAUCUGUAGCUGGUCUGAGAGGACGACCAGCCACACUGGGACUGAGACACGGCCCAGACUCCUACGGGAGGCAGCAGUGGGGAAUUUUGGACAAUGGGCGCAAGCCUGAUCCAGCCAUUCCGCGUGCAGGACGAAGGCCUUCGGGUUGUAAACUGCUUUUGUACGGAACGAAAAGGCUCUGGUUAAUACCUGGGGCUCAUGACGGUACCGUAAGAAUAAGCACCGGCUAACUACGUGCCAGCCGCCGCAGUAA